UUUUUGUUCAGAUUCCUCAAUUGUUUUUCGUAAUUGAGUAAAUCAAUAUAUAUGGUCUCCCUCUUAUCUACAUCAGCUACUUUCGUCAACUUUUCGAGCGGCAAUGAUGCUAACGACAUAUGUGGAGCGGCCAAACCAAUUUCCCUAGGCUAAAUCUAUAUACAUUGAGUUGCGAGGUACUGAAAUCUGCAGUCGACAUUUACACGAUUUACAA